rnacentral:rRNA from 1 species
CACGUAGGGCGCAAGCGUUGUCCGGAAUUAUUGGGCGUAAAGAGCUCGUAGGCGGUCUGUUGCGUCCGCUGUGAAAACUCGGGGCUUAACCCCGAGCCUGCAGUGGAUACGGGCAGACUAGAGGUAGGUAGGGGAGAAUGGAAUUCCCGGUGUAGCGGUGAAAUGCGCAGAUAUCGGGAGGAACACCGGUGGCGAAGGCGGUUCUCUGGGCCAUUACUGACGCUGAGGAGCGAAGGCGUGGGGAGCAAACAGG